AACGAACGCUGGCGGCAUGCCUAACACAUGCAAGUCGAACGAGACCUUCGGGUCUAGUGGCGCACGGGUGCGUAACGCGUGGGAACCUGCCCUUAGGUUCGGAAUAACUCCCCGAAAGGGGUGCUAAUACCGGAUAAUGUCUUCGGACCAAAGAUUUAUCGCCUUUGGAUGGGCCCGCGUUGGAUUAGCUAGUUGGUAGGGUAAAAGCCUACCAAGGCGACGAUCCAUAGCUGGUCUGAGAGGAUGAUCAGCCACACUGGGACUGAGACACGGCCCAGACUCCUACGGGAGGCAGCAGUGGGGAAUAUUGGGCAAUGGGCGAAAGUCUGAUCCAGCAAUGCCGCGUGAGUGAUGAAGGCCUUAGGGUUGUAAAGCUCUUUUACCCGGGAUGAUAAUGACAGUACCGGGAGAAUAAGCUCCGGCUAACUCCGUG
rnacentral:rRNA from 1 species